UCGCACUUGCACACCAGUAACGUAUCAAAUUUGGAAACAAUCAGGACACUAGUAUAAAUUGUAUUUCGCUCAAAUUAUUUUUUCAUUCAAUUAUCUUACUUACAGCAGAUACGUUAGCUACAAUCUACGUAAAAAAUUUAAAACAAUGUUCAAGAUAAUAUAAUAUUUAAAUAUACUAUCGAUAAGGUUGAUUUAAAACUUUUAUUAAUAGCACAGACGUUCUCGUAAUGUACAUGAGUACGGACCUGGCAUCAUGACGAUCGUUUUACUUCGUGUUUCUUCGGUGCACAGCGCUAAUUCUAAAUACAUAGGUAUGCGUCGAUGACGUAUCAUCGUUAAAAAGUCCAAUGAUCAAUGUUGCCACCGAUUUUAAACAAUUCCUCUAGUUUAUUCAUGCUCUACUCAGCUCUCCCAUUUCUUCCUAGUAACGAGUGUACCGUUUAAAUUGUACGUCUAAUCGAAAUAUGCCAUUUAUAGAUAGUCUGUUCCACUGCAUUCUACUGUGCAUGUACACUGUACAGUGGCGUGUAAAAGUUUCUGUCGUUUGUUUUUUUACUUCUUUGAAGGAGAAGUGCGCGCGGCUAUUUACAAGUUUAUGAUAUAAGUUAUAUUUUGAAAAUGGGUUAUCUAAUGAACGAAUGCUUGUGGGGAAAAAUCUUAUGGGGUGUGUUAUAUUUAAUACAUAGCGCCUUUAGGCUUCGAGUCUGUACAGGCACGUCAGACGUGUCCGAAUUUCCUUUGGUUAGCUGGAAAAUCGAGCCAACAUAUUUCAAAUCCAUUCAGAUCAAUUCAGAUCGUUUUAAAAGUUGGUGAAAUUUCUGUCGUGGUUGAAAUAUAUACAUUAAUUUAAUAAAUAUAUGUAUCACAGUCUAGAGGAUUUUAUUAUGACAAGUUUAGCGGCAUGGUCUCGCAUAGAAAUAGAAACAAGUGUAGAGGAAAUUGGAGAUAAAUAAAUCAUACAAUCUAUUUUUAUAAAAUAGAAUUUCAUGGCCCCUCUUCAGUUUAUUACAAUUUAUAGCUAGCAUAUUUUGGCUGAAGUAAUUUCAAUUAUUCAGUUAAAAUGACGGAGGAAUCAAUGCAACAAGAGGUGACUAAGCAUAGCUUUCGCCAGAAAGUAUAGAAUUACUUGGCAUUUGAAGCUAAGAAGGAAAUAUUGAUUACAAUUCCUUCAUGUUGCACCAGUUAUUGGUGUCACAAGAAAGAAAUUCAGAAUCUGGUAGAAAAUUGAUGGUGUAAUGGAAGUUGGUCAACCACUCGGAGUGGAGUCUAAUGUAAAGGUAUCCAUUGCUUGUUCUUAUAAUAACAAUGUCUUAUUAUUCGUUAUGUUUACCUUCAUUAUUUUAUACAUUCGUCCGAUUUUCUUUCAGAUAGAUCUCAUAGUGUUGACUGAUGAUAGUUUAGUCAAUCGAUAAAUAAUAUUUGUGACACAAAAGAAUAAGUCAACAUCCGGUAUAUAUGUUAUUUUUCUUGAGGAAUAUUUUCACACUAGGUGUAUCUGGGACGAACCGGAACGAAACGAAACGAGACGAUGAAUAAUUUAUAGCAAAUAUUCAACCGGUAGAGAUAGUUUUGUAUACGCGCAUCUGAAAAAUAUUCAGUCAUUUUCCUCGAAAAUAAAAUCCAUCGUAUAAACUAUUUUAUAUUCUAUAUUUUCGAUCGUCCUCUCGCAAAUCAUUACCAUAUUAAUUUUCCGGAUACAAAUUUGGAUUGUUAAUAGAUAGGGGAUGAAUUAUGUAAGAGUAUAUAUAAUAUACUGUGUAAUCAGUAGGAAUAGCUGUUCGAUGCAUGCGACAGAAUAUUUAAAUACAUAUUUAGCUUAUUAGCGUGUAGCGGAUGAUUUACGAAACUAAUCGUAAGCUUAAUGCAGGAAUGUGCCGCGAGGUAAUUAUUUCGCUCCAAAGUUUGCAAUUUUAAAAAAUCUCGAAAUAAAAAGUUCGUAAACCGAUAUAUUAGGGGCGAAGUACGAAAGUGGAAAAAAUUUGUUGUCAGUUCUAUAAAUUAAAUAAAUUAAAUUAAAUUAACCAGAUCAAAUUAAUUACGCGACGAUUCGCGAGGCACCGAAGCUUCUAAAUUAAACAUACGCAAUUUAACGAUAAUCAACUUUCCGUUAGCCUUCUAUUU